rfam:Schistosoma rodhaini strain Burundi genome assembly, scaffold: SROB_scaffold0000720
GCACUGCUGUGGAGUCUCAUAAUAGGACGAAACGGCCGUUCAGUGC